rnacentral:rRNA from 1 species
UACGUAGGGUGCAGGCGUUAAUCGGAAUUACUGGGCGUAAAGCGUGCGCAGGCGGUUUGCUAAGACAGGUGUGAAAUCCCCGGGCUUAACCUGGGAACUGCGCUUGUUACUGGCAAGCUGGAGUGUGGCAGAGGGGGGUGGAAUUCCACGUGUAGCAGUGAAAUGCGUAGAUAUCAGGAGGAAUACCGAUGGCGAAGGCAGGUCUCUGGGCUGACACUGACGCUCAUGCACGAAAGCGUGGGGAGCAAACAGG